ACACACGUCUCAGCCGUUGCCAGCUGAAGAGGACUGACAGCUCGAACCCUGCGGUCGUUACCGUACAUCUAACCGCCCAACACCGGUUGUCCGUCUUAUCAGCUGUCUACACAGACACACUCUAACAGCAUGAUUCCAGAUCCCAUUCCAGAUUCUCCUUUUGAAAAUACAUCACACUGGGCAACAGCAAAGGGAAACAGUAGGAUGCAGGUUUCUGGGAGCUGUGAUCGCCUCAGUGACUAAACGUGAACAUGUGAAACGUCCAGAGAGAGUGACCUGGAAGUGUCAUUCUAGCUGCUAAAUGCAAGGCAGAUUCAGCAAUCUCACCUCAGAUAUGAUACGUUUUCUAACAAUGUUUUAAUUGCCAUCAUGUUUUUCUGCUCUG